UUGAGUUUAUGCAAAGUUAACAUAUUCUCUUUAGCAUGUUUCAGAGUAAAACGAUGACCAUAAGACAUGAUAUUCAUUGAUUGGCCAUGAAAUUUGACAUGACUGGAAAAUUAAAAAAUCUAGCUGGUCCAUAGAUUUGAGAAAAUGAUAUAAAUAGAUACUUUCCUGCAACAUAUAUAGAUGAUCUCUUUGUGUUCAUCUUCAUGCCCUGGGCAUUGAGAUAUGGAAGCUUGACCAGUAUUGUUGAGUCCAUAGUAUGGCCACACGACAGAUUGAUGGCGAUGGAGGGACCUGUUUCAUUUUGCCAUGGACGCCUGCAAUUGCCUUCCAAACUCUAUCCUGCUGGCUUUUGGAAGAGCAGAGAUCUUGGAGUUGUUUUGCAGAAGUAUGAAUCCUCACUAUGCAGCAAAGUGUCGUGUUGCAGCCGCAGCCUACUCGAUCCACUCUCUCGGGAAAACAAAAAUUUAUCACAUUUAAAGAAUUAACCGGAAUUCGAGUAGAAGCCUGGCAAUAACGGCAAGCAGGAGAUGGUCACACUCUAGACCAAGCCAGUGUUGAAGAUGCAAUCCUUCCUCUUCCAAAUCUCCAAACACAUGAAAAUAAAAGGAAACAUGGUACAGCACACUCAAUGGUGUCAUUGACCUUGCGAUUCAUAGGGACCUCACCACUAUAAGGCUAUUAAUAAAAGAGAUGGUGCUCCGCAUGAAUUUUUGAAGCUCCAUGGUCAUCAUGGCUUAUUUCAGAUUGAAUGAGGAUGGCGACAACUUGUCUGGUGUAAGGCCUGCUGGACAAACUUCUUUUCAUGCUAGAAGAGCGGUUGCUAAGGGACUACCAUUCCUAGAACUGCAAUUAUCACGUUUGUUUUUUUGUUGUUUCCGUUUCAACGGACGGGUAUAAUCCUAGGCAGUGCUGAUGGAGUUGAUUGUAUUGUCAAAAUAGAGCUAAGAGAGUGUGUGCAUCUGACAAACCACUUUGGGCUAUUUAUUGUUGCUCUAUCUUAAUUUGUAAGUUUGGUUAACCGUGAGAAUUUAAUUAUUUUUUACAAUAUCAGCCAUGAGCCUAAAGUUUUAGAGAUAUUUUCAAUGACUA